GGCAUGCGAAGCAUACCAUGCAGUCGUACGAGGUAGCGUAAUUGCUUCUCUUGUUAGCGGCGGACGGGUGAGUAACGCCUAGGAAUCUGCCUGGUGAUGGGGGAUAACCUUCGGAAACGGACUCUAAUACCGCAAACUUCCUACGGGACAAAUCGUGGGACCUUCGAGCCAUUCUCUAUCUGAUGAUCCUCUGUCGGAUUAUCUACUUGGUGAGGUAAUGGCUCACCAAGGCGACGAUCCGUAACUGGUCUGAGAGGAUGAUCAAUCACCCUGGAACUGAGACACAGUCCACACUCCUACCUACGGCAGCAGUGGGGAAUAUUGGACAAUGGGGGAAAGCCUGAUCCAUGCCAUGCCGCGUGUGUGAAGACGGUCUUCUGAUUGUAAAGCACUUUAAUUUGGGAGGAAGGGCAUUACCGAUACGUUAGUGUUUUGACCUUACCGACACAAUAAGCACCGGCUAACUCUGUGCCAUCAGCCGCGGUCAUACUCAGGGUGCAAUCGUUAAUCAGAAUUCCUGGGCGUAAAGCCCCCUUAGGUGGUUUGUUAAGUUGGAUGUGAAAUCGCCUGGCUUGACCUGGGAACUACAUUAAUGACUGACUGAAUAUAGUAUUUUAUGGGGUGGUGGAAUAUUGCGUGUAUAUCUGAAGUACCACCAUUGGCGAAGGAACAUCUCUGGGCCAUGCCUGCCCCUGAACAGAUACUGACUGUGAAGUGCACAAGCUUGGAUAGCAAAGUAGUCCACCCCCUAAACGUUGUCCACCCCGUAGUGGGAGGUCUACCAACGGUCUGCGAGCCUUGAGCUCUUACAUGGCGCUUCCCACCCUGGGGAAUUGACCCCCAAGGCUAAAAGUCACAGAAUUGACGUGACUGCAUUAACGGGGCACAUGCAGAUGAUUAGCAUGUGCUCUAAUUCCAUUACACGGAUAACUUACCCGGCCACGGCACCAAAUGACUUCCCAUUAAUAGAUGGUGCCUUCGGUAACAUUGUGACAGUAGCUCAUGCUUUCAUUAUUUGGUUACUCCAAUAUUAGCUCAAUCCCGUACCUGCUGCACCCUCUGUUCUUUAUUGCACCCUGGAAUGCUGGCGCGUCAAGCUCAGCAUGCAGUGACAUCCGAAGUGAGCGCGGAUGACACGUAGUCAUGGCUUCCUUCAUGCUCUAGGUCCACGACUACUGGACUAGGACGUCAGAAGGUUU
rnacentral:rRNA from 1 species